rnacentral:rRNA from 1 species
AGAGGGUGCGAGCGUUAAUCGGAUUUACUGGGCGUAAAGCGUGCGUAGGCGGCUUCUUAAGUCGGAUGUGAAAUCCCUGAGCUUAACUUAGGAAUUGCAUUCGAUACUGGGAAGCUAGAGUAUGGGAGAGGAUGGUAGAAUUCCAGGUGUAGCGGUGAAAUGCGUAGAGAUCUGGAGGAAUACCGAUGGCGAAGGCAGCCAUGUGGCCUAAUACUGACGCUGAGGUACGAAAGCACGGGGAGCAAACAGGAUUAGAUACCCCGGUAGUCCAUCCCGUAAACGAUGUAUAUUACCCGGGGGGGCCUUGGAGGUUUUAGAGGCGCAGCUAACGCGAUAAUUAGACACAGCCUGGGGAUUCCGGUAUCAAGAUUA